UACGAAGGGGGCUAGCGUUGCUCGGAAUUACUGGGCGUAAAGGGCGCGUAGGCGGAUGUUUAAGUCAGAGGUGAAAGCCCAGGGCUCAACCUUGGAACUGCCUUUGAUACUGGGCAUCUUGAGUAUGGGAGAGGUGAGUGGAACUCCGAGUGUAGAGGUGAAAUUCGUAGAUAUUCGGAAGAACACCAGUGGCGAAGGCGACUCACUGGCCCAUUACUGACGCUGAGGCGCGAAAGCGUGGGGAGCAAACAGGG
rnacentral:rRNA from 1 species